GGUAAGCAUCCAGAUUGUGCUCUUGAAUUUGGUUGCUGAACGGAGUGGUAUGUCAACUUUUGGUUGUAGAAAUGGACAGUGAUAAGUUAUGAAGGGAGGACCAAGGAUUUCGUGGAGUUCAAAGAAGUUAUGUAGCUGUGUUAUUGUUGCUUAUGGUCGAGGAUGAUUUCUAAGCAACAUUUCCUACAAGCACAUGAAAAUACAAUACAUAUUAUUGUAAUUGAAAUGAUAUGUAACAAAUAAAAUAUGACUAUGAAAAAUAAAUAAAUGAUUUGUGAUA